AAAGGGUGUGUAGGCGGGUAUUUAAGUCAGUGGUGAAAUCUCCGAGCUCAACUCGGAAACUGCCAUUGAUACUAUUUAUCUUGAAUAUUGUUGAGGUAGGCGGAAUAUGUCAUGUAGCGGUGAAAUGCUUAGAUAUGACAUAGAACACCGAUUGCGAAGGCAGCUUGCUAAACAAUUAUUGACGCUGAGGCACGAAAGCGUGGGGAUCAAACAGGAUUAGAUACCCGUGU
rnacentral:rRNA from 1 species